UCGUUCGGAACGCGCUGAGCCCAAAAUAAAAACAAAAAAUAACAGACGAGAGCCGAGCAAAACGUGAAGCAACGUCGAGACGGGGCACGUUAAACGGCACAAAAGUGUAGUGUAGUUCUAGGCUUUAAGUUGUUUUUUCCCCUUAUUUUGGUUUUGUUUUUUUUUUUUAUUUUAUUGCAAUCCUUUUACUUGACACAAUUUACACAAGCACAGAAACACGCGAAAACUACUCGGCGAUUAUGUUUAUUGGCAGCGCGCACAACAACCAAAAGGCCCGCAAAUAGCGCAAUGUUGCCUGACCAAACCCCAACCUAGUGAGUAGCCCUAUGCCAAAGGAAAGCUACCAAAAUGCAUUCGGCGUGCUAACAUCUAGUUCAAUUUCAAGUGCAUACGCGCCAGGCACGUUCAAGUGACAGAGUGAGUGGAAAAGUGGGGUGACAUCAGUGGGCGUGACUGACCAGCUGGCUCCGGCUGGAGAGCGAGUGCGAGUGUGUGAGUGUGUGUGUGCCUUUGAGCUGGACACGCGACAUCUACAAACAUAAUCGCGGGCAAGGAAUACGAAAAACAUUCAGGUUUGCGGCCAACACAAAUCCAUCCAGACACGAAUCCAAAUCCGUAGAAUUUAGCCACAAACAGUACACAGAUACAAAAACAAUUACAACUGAUCGUAUUUGCUAAGCGACCGUAUUUACACUGUGAUCAUGACUUAUAUACCCAAAAAUAUGCAUCACUAUGCGCAUGCAGCCAUGAAUCUGAUCAACAUGGACUCGGAGAAUCGUGUCGUGCUCAAUGUGGGCGGCAUUAGGCAUGAGACAUACAAGGCCACAUUGAAGAAGAUACCAGCGACGCGUUUGUCCCGUCUGACCGAGGCGCUGGCCAACUAUGAUCCCAUACUGAACGAAUACUUCUUCGAUCGGCAUCCGGGCGUAUUCGCACAAGUGCUCAACUAUUACAGAACUGGUAAGCUGCACUAUCCCACAGAUGUGUGCGGUCCGCUGUUUGAGGAAGAAUUGGAAUUUUGGGGUCUUGACUCGAAUCAGGUGGAGCCCUGCUGCUGGAUGACCUAUACACAGCAUCGUGACACACAAGAAACCCUAGCCGUACUGGAUCGCUUAGAUCUGGAUACGGAAAAACCGUCCGAAGAGGAAUUGGCGCGCAAAUUUGGCUUUGAGGAGGACUAUUAUAAAGGCACCAUAUCCUGGUGGCAGGAAAUGAAGCCUCGCAUCUGGUCGCUAUUCGAUGAGCCUUACAGUUCCAAUGCCGCCAAGACCAUUGGCGUCGUCUCGGUAUUCUUCAUAUGCAUUUCGAUAUUGUCCUUCUGCCUGAAAACCCAUCCGGACAUGCGUGUGCCCAUCGUGCACAAUGUGACCGUGAAAACGGCAAACGGGAGCGCCGCUUGGUUUCUGGACAAGUCAAUGACCAAUGCGCAUAUUGCCUUCUUCUAUAUAGAAUGCGUUUGCAAUGCCUGGUUUACGUUUGAGAUACUGGUGCGCUUUAUCUCAUCGCCCAACAAGUGUGAAUUCUUAAAGUCAUCUGUUAACAUCAUAGAUUAUAUAGCGACGCUUAGUUUUUAUAUCGAUCUAGUGCUUCAGCGAUUCGCAUCGCAUCUGGAGAACGCUGACAUACUCGAGUUCUUCUCGAUCAUACGCAUAAUGCGGCUGUUCAAGCUGACACGCCACUCGUCCGGCCUGAAAAUCCUUAUACAAACGUUCCGGGCAUCGGCCAAGGAGUUAACACUGCUCGUAUUCUUCCUGGUGCUGGGCAUUGUGAUCUUUGCCAGCCUCGUCUACUAUGCCGAGCGCAUACAGCCCAAUCCGCACAACGACUUCAAUAGCAUACCGCUGGGCCUGUGGUGGGCAUUGGUCACCAUGACCACUGUCGGCUAUGGUGACAUGGCGCCCAAGACCUACAUUGGCAUGUUUGUCGGCGCCCUAUGCGCCCUUGCCGGUGUGCUAACCAUUGCACUGCCAGUGCCCGUCAUAGUCAGCAACUUUGCCAUGUAUUAUUCGCAUACGCAGGCGCGAGCCAAACUGCCAAAGAAGCGAAGACGAGUGCUUCCCGUGGAACAGCCGCGACAGCCACACCGGCCAGGUGAGCGCGCUCCAGUCAGUGGCUGCGGCACACCAGGAUCUGGUCCACACUCGGGUCCCAUGGGCUCCGGCGGCACCGGACCGCGCCGCAUGAACAACAAAACCAAGGAUCUGGUCAGUCCCAAGUCAGAUGAAUAUACAACAAUGAUUGGCAAACCACGUGAUGGCAAAAAGAGCAGGCUGCUCUAAGCCAUAACCAUGAAUCAAGAACACUGAACUCUGAACCCUGAACUCUAGCGAAAUAUUUAAAUGCAAAGAGCAAUGCAAGGCAAGGCAUAAAUAAGGAACAUAAAGAAUGGAGCAUAUCUAUGAAGCAACUAUUGAACUGGCAUCAUUAUUAUUUAGAAAGAAUUCAUCCCAACUAGAAGUAUCCACACAUUAGAAAGCCAUUAUCAAAUAAAAUGCACACUAUCUGAAUACAACUUUAAAGGAGCCGCAGGAUUGAGAUGCUUAUCGUGUUGCUCAACUCUUCACAGGUCCCUUGGGCGCCAGCAUCGUUGCGAUGAGUCCAC
rnacentral:misc_RNA from 1 species